rnacentral:rRNA from 1 species
UAAGACAGAGGGUGCAAACGUUGUUCGGAAUUACUGGGCGUAAAGCGCGUGUAGGCUGCCCCGAAAGUCAGGUGUGAAAGCCCUGGGCUCAACCCAGGAAGUGCACUUGAAACUUCGGUGGCUUGAGUUCUGGAGAGGAUGGCGGAAUUCUCGGUGUAGAGGUGAAAUUCGUAGAUAUCGAGAGGAACACCGGUGGCGAAGGCGGCUAUCUGGACAGUGACUGACGCUGAGACGCGAAAGCGUGGGGAGCAAACAGGAUUAGAUACCCUGGUAGUCCACGCCGUAAACGAUGGGUGCUAGGUGUCGCGGGCUUUGACCCCUGCGGUGCCGUAGCUAACGCAUUAAGCACCCCGCCUGGGGAGUACGGCCGCAAGGCUA